rnacentral:rRNA from 1 species
UACGGGGGGAGCAAGCGUUGUUCGGAUUUACUGGGCGUAAAAGGCGCGUAGGCGGCCAGCACAAGUCAGCUGUGAAAUCUCCGAGCUUAACUCGGAACGGUCAACUGAUACUGUGCGGCUAGAGUGCGGAAGGGGCAACUGGAAUUCUUGGUGUAGCGGUGAAAUGCGUAGAUAUCAAGAGGAACACCUGCGGCGAAGGCGGGUUGCUGGGCCGACACUGACGCUGAGGCGCGAAAGCCAGGGGAGCGAACGGG